AGCAGCAUGGCAUACUGGUUUGAGUGUUUGACUACAACUUCAGAGACCAGGGUUCGAUUCCCAGCUUGGUCA